UUUUUUCUCAUCCUCUUCCCUUUAGCCGUGUAACCGCAUGGGAGAGAUGACGACUGGCAGCAGAAGUAUCGUUUCGUCAUCUAGCC